GACGAACCGUGCGAACGUUGUUCGGAUUCACUGGGCUUAAAGGGCGCGUAGGCGGCGGCUCAAGUCGGGGGUGAAAUCCUCUCGCUUAACGAGAGAAUUGCUUUCGAUACUGGGUCGCUGGAGGCAGGUAGGGGAGAUCGGAAUUCCUGGUGUAGCGGUGAAAUGCGCAGAUAUCAGGAGGAACACCGGUGGCGAAGGCGGAUCUCUGGGCCUGUCCUGACGCUGAGGCGCGAAAGCUAGGGGAGCGAACAGG
rnacentral:rRNA from 1 species